AAGUCUAUCGGGAAAUCCGCGCGCUUAACGCGCGGGCGUCCGGUGGAAACUGCGUGGCUUGGGACCGGAAGACCAGAGGGGUACGUCCGGGGUAGGAGUGAAAUCCCGUAAUCCUGGACGGACCACCGGUGGCGAAAGCGCCUCUGGAAGACGGAUCCGACGGUGAGGGACGAAAGCUCGGGUCACGAACCGGAUUAGAUACCCGGGUAGUCCGAGCUGUAAACGAUGUCUGCUAGGUGUGGCACAGGCUACGAGCCUGUGCUGUGCCGUAGGGAAGCCGUGAAGCAGACCGCCUGGGAAGUACGUCCGCAAGGAUGAAACUUAAAGGAAUUGGCGGGGGAGCACUACAACCGGAGGAGCCUGCGGUUUAAUUGGACUCAACGCCGGACAUCUCACCAGCAUCGACAAUGUGCAGUGAAAGUCAGGUUGAUGACCUUACUGGAGCCAUUGAGAGGAGGUGCAUGGCCGCCGUCAGCUCGUACCGUGAGGCGUCCUGUUAAGUCAGGCAACGAGCGAGACCCGCACUCCUAAUUGCCAGCAACACCCUCGUGGUGGUUGGGUACAUUAGGAGGACUGCCAGUGCCAAACUGGAGGAAGGAACGGGCAACGGUAGGUCAGUAUGCCCCGAAUGUGCUGGGCGACACGCGGGCUACAAUGGCC
rnacentral:rRNA from 1 species